GCAAACGCUGGCGGCGUGCCUAAGACAUGCAAGUCGAACGAGGAAAGCUUUCGGGUGAGUACUAGUGGCGAACGGGAGAGGAACACGUGGGUAAUCUACCUCUAGGAGAAGAAUAACCAGUCGAAAGACUGGCUAAUACUUCGUAAGACCACAGUAACUAAUGUUACAGGGGUUAAAGGAGCAAUCCGCCAAGAGAUGAGCCCGCGCCCGAUUAGCUAGUUGGUGAGGUAAUGGCUUACCAAGGCUUUGAUCGGUAGCUGGUCUGAGAGGAUGACCAGCCUCACUGGAACUGAUACACGGUCCAGACUCCUACGGGAGGCAGCAGUCGGGAAUAUUGCACAAUGGACGAAAGUCUGAUGCAGCGACGCCGCGUGGGUGAUGACGGAUUUCGGUCUGUAAAGCCCUUUUGUCAGGGAAUAAAAAAAUGAAUGUACCUGAAGAAUAAGCACCGGCUAACUUCGU
rnacentral:rRNA from 1 species